GACUGACCCGCGGAGCCUGCGCGGUGGGAGGAUCUUGCGAGCACAGCUGCGCAGGCGCCGGGCAGCAGCCGCACCCACGCGGCGCUUCUCCAAAAGUUACAGAUGCGCGAGCCGACCUCGCAGUUCCCGCGGCUCUCUACAGCAGAGAAGAGAAGAGAAAACGCGGCAGGGCGCUCUGUUGGCUUCUCCAGGAGUGACUGUGCUGCUUUCCAAGAUGAAACCUCCCUUCCUUUGCAGUUCGCUGAGAGCUUCAGUGACCCUCGCUCAUCCUUUGGAGCCCUCUGCCAGGACGAGCCAGUUGUGUGUGGCUACUGGUGCCUGACCAUUCCUAUCCUGGCUGGAGUCUCCAGAGGCGCUCAGGCGUCAGGAUGGAUGAUGAACUUUCCAAAAGGAAAAAGAAUUUCAUUGUCCAGAACAACAUUGGCAGAAGGAUUAAAUAGGAAGAUUAAAUGUAUUUCCUAGAAGCUGUAUGUUAAUAAAUGCUAAACCUUGAGUGACA
rnacentral:lncRNA from 1 species